UACGGGGGGAGCGAGCGUUGUUCGGAAUCACUGGGCGUAAAGGGCGUGUAGGCGGCUGGAUAAGUCAGAGGUGAAAUCCCAGGGCUUAACCUUGGAAUUGCCUUUGAUACUGUCCGACUAGAGGACGGAAGAGGAUAGUGGAAUUCCUGGUGUAGCGGUGAAAUGCGUAGAUAUCAGGAAGAACACCGGUGGCGAAGGCGGGUCUCUGGGCCGAUAAUUGACGCUGGAGGAGCGAAAGCGUGGGGAGCAAACAGG
rnacentral:rRNA from 1 species